GGAAGGGUGGCCGAGUUGGUUAUGGCGCCAGGUUAAGGUCAGCUUAACAUCUGUUUCCUGGUGGGGCGGGGCAACCCGCGCGAGUUCGAGUCUCGUCCCUUUCA
rnacentral:tRNA from 2 species